UACGAAGGGGGCUAGCGUUGUUCGGAAUCACUGGGCGUAAAGCGCACGUAGGCGGAUUGCUAAGUCAGGGGUGAAAUCCUGGAGCUCAACUCCAGAACUGCCUUUGAUACUGGCGAUCUUGAGUCCGGGAGAGGUGAGUGGAACUGCGAGUGUAGAGGUGAAAUUCGUAGAUAUUCGCAAGAACACCAGUGGCGAAGGCGGCUCACUGGCCCGGUACUGACGCUGAGGUGCGAAAGCGUGGGGAGCAAACAGGG
rnacentral:rRNA from 1 species